rnacentral:rRNA from 1 species
GUCCACGCCGUAAACGAUGAGUGCUAGGUGCUGCGGGUAUUGACCCCUGCGGUGCCGUAGCUAACGCGUUAAGCACUCCGCCUGGGGAGUACGGUCGCAAGACUAAAACUCAAAGGAAUUGACGGGGGCCCGCACAAGCGGUGGAGCAUGUGGUUCAAUUCGACGCAACGCGCAGAACCUUACCUGGGUUAAAUCCACUCGAACGGGGUAGAGAUAUCUUGGUGCCCUUCUGGGGAGCGAGUGAGAAGGUGCUGCAUGGCUGUCGU